rnacentral:tRNA from 1 species
AACUUUAUAUUCAAUAUAUGAUAUUAAAUUGCAAAUUUAAAGUAGUAAUUUAUAUUACUAAAGUUU